rnacentral:rRNA from 1 species
GACGAACGCUGGCGGCGUGCUUAACACAUGCAAGUCGAACGGAAAGGCCCUGCUUUUGUGGGGUGCUCGAGUGGCGAACGGGUGAGUAACACGUGAGUAACCUGCACUUGACUUUGGGAUAACUUCAGGAAACUGGGGCUAAUACCGGAUAGGAGCUCCUGCUGCAUGGUGGGGGUUGGAAAGUUUCGGCGGUUGGGGAUGGACUCGCGGCUUAUCAGCUUGUUGGUGGGGUAGUGGAUUACCAAGGCUUUGACGGGUAGCCGGCCUGGGAGGGUGACCGGCCACAUGACUACUGAGGUACGGCCCAGACGCCAACGGGAGGCAACAGGGGAGAAUAUGGCACAGUGGGGGGGAGUCAGAGGCAGCAACGCCGCGUUCGGGAUAACGUCCUUCGGGUUAUAAACCGCUUUCGCCGGUGACGAAGCGUGAUUGACGGUAAUUGGUAAAAAAGCACCGGCUAACUACGUG